rnacentral:lncRNA from 1 species
AUGGAUGAUCUGUGCCGCCGGGGAUUCACUUGCGAGCGCAGCCCGGGUAAGGAGGAGGGGGGGAGCAGUUGGCCGGCCGGGGCUGAGUCGGGGUGCGUCCUCCACCUCCCCCUCCGCAGGGUCUCCAUGAGCCUGCCGUCCCCUGCGCGCCCUCUCUCCCCGCUGCUCGUGUGCGCUUCCUCGGUGACGGAAGGCGGCAGACAGCGCUCCUUCUCCCGGGGCUGUGGCAAGUCACCUCCUCGGCUCUUCUUCCAGGAGCAUUGCUGUGACCUCCUCCACCCCUCCUCCUCCUCCAGGCCCACAAGUGAACACCGCCAACAGGUCGCCGUGACUUCGGCUCGUCUUCACAUGUCCGUCCGCGGCGGUGGAGCUCCGGGUGUUCCUCCACGUGUGAGCGUCCUCCGAGCUGCUGUGUCGUCCUGUUCCCACACCUCCGCCUGCCCGCUGGGCUCUUUAUUCCCCUCCUCUUCUCUCCUCCCCUCCUCCCCCUGCCUUCUUCUCCCCUCCCAUCCCCCGACUGCUCGGAUUACCCUAGAGUUUACUCUGAGGGGGUGAGAGAGGGAGAAAGCGAGAUACAUGGAGUGAGAGAGUGGGGGGGGGGAAGAGAGAGAUAGACAGAGGAAGAGUGGGGAGAGACAGAAAGAGAGAGAGAGUGAGUGGG